GCAUGAGUAUAAACAAAGGACAAAAUUAGAAAGGCCAAGGCACAAAAUGAGAUUAAACUAGCUAGAGACAUAAAGGGUAACAAGAAAACACUUUACAAAUACAUUAGAAGCAAGAGGAAGGCCAAGGACCGGGUAGGCCCAAUACUCAAUGAGGGGGGAACAAUAAGAGAAAAUGUGGAAAUGGCAGAAGUGCUAAAUGAUUUUUUUGUUUCAGUUUUCACCAAAAAGGUUAGUAGCAAUUGGACGUAUAACAUAAUGAAUGACC